UCCUACGGGAGGCAGCAGUGGGGAAUUUUCCGCAAUGGGCGCAAGCCUGACGGAGCAAUACCGCGUGAGGGAGGAAGGUCCUUGGAUUGUAAACCUCUUUUAUCAGGGAAGAAAAAAAUGACGGUACCUGAUGAAUAAGCAUCGGCUAACUCCGUGCCAGCAGCCGCGGUAAUACGGAGGAUGCGAGCGUUAUCCGGAAUUAUUGGGCGUAAAGCGUCCGUAGGUGGUUAUGCAAGUCUGCCGUUAAAGAAUGGAGCUUAACUCCAUAGGAGCGGUGGAAACCGCAAGACUAGAGUACAGUAGGGGUAGCAGGAAUUCCCAGUGUAGCGGUGAAAUGCGUAGAUAUUGGGAAGAACAUCGGUGGCGAAAGCGUGCUACUGGGCUGAAACUGACACUGAGGGACGAAAGCUAGGGUAGCGAAAGGGAUUAGAUACCCCUGUAGUCCUAGCCGUAAACGAUGGAUACUAGGCGUGGCUUGUAUCGACCCGAGCCGUGCCGAAGCUAACGCGUUAAGUAUCCCGCCUGGGGAGUACGCACGCAAGUGUGAAACUCAAAGGAAUUGACGG
rnacentral:rRNA from 1 species